UACAGAGACUGCAAGCGUUAUUCGGAUUCACUGGGCGUAAAGGGUGCGCAGGCGGUCGGGUGUGUCAGAUGUGAAAUCCCGAGGCUCAACCUCGGAACUGCGUCUGAAACUACUCGACUAGAGUACUGGAGAGGGUAACGGAAUUCACGGUGUAGCAGUGAAAUGCGUAGAUAUCGUGAGGAACACCAGAGGCGAAGGCGGUUACCUGGACAGUUACUGACGCUCAGGCACGAAAGCUAGGGGAGCAAACAGG
rnacentral:rRNA from 1 species